rnacentral:rRNA from 1 species
AACUGAAGAGUUUGAUCAUGGCUCAGAUUGAACGCUGGCGGCAGGCUUAACACAUGCAAGUCGAGCGGGGGAAGGUAGCUUGCUACCGGACCUAGCGGCGGACGGGUGAGUAAUGCUUAGGAAUCUGCCUAUUAGUGGGGGACAACAUCUCGAAAGGGAUGCUAAUACCGCAUACGUCCUACGGGAGAAAGCAGGGGAUCUUUGGACCUUGCGCUAAUAGAUGAGCCUAAGUCGGAUUAGCUAGUUGGUGGGGUAAA